GUGAGUAGUUCAGAGUUUGAUCCUGGCUCAGGAUGAACGCUGGCGGCGUGCAUAACACAUUCAAGUCGAACGGUGAUUUCCUUCGGGAAUGAUCAGUGGCGGACGGGUGAGUAACGCGUGAGCAACCUGCCCUUAUGUGGGGGACAACGUUUGGAAACGAACGCUAAUACCGCAUAAUGUUACCGGAUCGCAUGUUCUGGUAACCAAAGAUUUAUUGCGUAAGGAUGGGCUCGCGUUGGAUUAGGUAGUUGGUGAGGUAACGGCCCACCAAGCCGACGAUCCAUAGCCGGACUGAGAGGUUGAACGGCCACAUUGGAACUGAGAAACGGUCCAG
rnacentral:rRNA from 1 species